UACGUAGGGUGCAAGCGUUAAUCGGAAUUACUGGGCGUAAAGCGUGCGCAGGCGGUUGUGCAAGACAGAUGUGAAAUCCCCGGGCUUAACCUGGGAACUGCAUUUGUGACUGCACAGCUGGAGUGCGGCAGAGGGGGAUGGAAUUCCGGCGUGUAGCAGUGAAAUGCGUAGAUAUGCGGAGGAACACCGAUGGCGAAGGCAAUCCCCUGGGCCUGCACUGACGCUCAUGCACGAAAGCGUGGGGAGCAAACAGG
rnacentral:rRNA from 1 species